UACGAAGGGGGCUAGCGUUGCUCGGAAUCACUGGGCGUAAAGCGCACGUAGGCGGAUUCUUAAGUCAGGGGGUGAAAUCCUGGAGCUCAACUCCAGAACUGCCUUUGAUACUGGGAAUCUCGAGUCCGGGAGAGGUGAGUGGAACUGCGAGUGUAGAGGUGAAAUUCGUAGAUAUUCGCAAGAACACCAGUGGCGAAGGCGGCUCACUGGCCCGGUACUGACGCUGAGGUGCGAAAGCGUGGGGAGCAAACAGG
rnacentral:rRNA from 1 species